UUUAAGGUGGGGUGGGGUGCUAGGGGCAGAAGCACCUCCUUUUUGGGAGGAGCUCCCAGCCCAGGCACAUUUGGGUGGAGGCUGCCUGACCAUCUGCUGGAGACAUUCCUCAGGGAAUCCCUGCAGCAGGCGGAGGCUGGAUGAGGUCCCUUCAAACAUGGAGAUUCUGUGAUUCUAGAAUUGGGAAAACAAGACACACACACGUGGAAUCUGUAAUUAUCGAGAGAUGCCAGGCAGCAUAUAAUUCUGCCUUAAGUGGCAUUGAAUGCAUGCAGCAGGAAUCCUCGAGGGAAGAGCGGAGGGCUUGGAAGCCCAGGGAAUACGUGGACCAGGGAUUGAACUCAUGACCUCGCACUUGCAAGGCAGGCGCUUAUGCUGCUGAGCUAAAUCCUCGGCCCUAAUACCAGAAAUCAAACUCAGGACCUUGCACUUGCCAGGCGAGCACUGCACUGCUGAGCCAUAUCCCUGGCCCUAUGCUGGACAUUUUGAAAAAGACUCUAGCCCACUGUUUGACCCCCCGAUGAUGCAAUUCUGCCUCCUUGAGCCAUGGAGGGCCUGACCUGGCCUCCUCCUGCUGCUGGCUUGGACCCUCAGCCUGAGAGGGCACAGAUAGUUGCAGCACCAUGAAGGGAGGUGGGAAGCAGAGGUGGGAGCAGGUUCUGGAGGGUGGUGGUCCAAGGUAGGCAGAGCUGGGCUUUUAGGGAUUCUGAUGGCCCUGAGGCUGCUUCUCAAUGAAGGAUAUUGAGAAGAUUUCCCCCCAGAACCUUCUUAAUCUAAGCAGUGACUGCAGUCAUGUGACAGAGGCUCAGCCUGGCAUUUGACUGACCUGCUCAAGGGUGUGGACAGCGUUCUUUUCUCUGACUGCAUCCUCUAUCUGCUCCAAUGGUUCGGUUUGGGGGAACUCAGGGAGGAGAGAGACUGAUGGUAGAGAGAAGCCAUGGCUGGCCCUUCUCCCCAACCCCGAGAUGCUGUGGACAGCACUGUAGGCCUUUCAGCUUACCUACCCUGUCCUCAGUAUGGCUUGGCUCAGCUUCCAGCCUGGGCAGGAGGACACUGUUCCAAAGCCAAGUCUCUGGCAAGGGUGUCAAGCUAAUCUGUUACCCUCGUCCUCUACCCCUAUACAAAAAAUUCACUUUUCCAAAACAGACAGGGAGCCUCUAAGGGCCAGGCCAGCCACCCUGCUCCUCUGCAGCCCAGGUUGAGCAGUUGGUUUCUUGGCCUAUAGGCCUCAGAGCCCAUGUCUGAGAGAAAUCUCUAACUCUCAGGCUGUUGGGGUCCUCUGCUCCCAAAUUCUCACAGCCCCCAUGGCCUCUCUCGCCAUCAGCACUGAGUAUCCUGUGGUCAUGAAGAUCUAUGGCCCCAGUGUCCAGUACAGAGCCUGGCAUAUAGGUGCUCAGUUUCUAAUUUUAAAACAAACCCAUGCCUCAAAACCCCUUAUUUAAUAAUGAGCUGACUGAAGCUGGGCAUGGAGGCACGUAUGUAUAAUUCCAGCACUCAGGAGGCUGAGGCAGAAUGGUCACUCUGAGCUCAAGGCCAGCCUGGGCUACAUAGUAAAUUCAAGACGGCCCUGUCUCAAACAAAACAAAACAAAGCAAAGCAAAACAGAGUUGAGUGAGUUUAGGUAAUUCUCUUUCCUUGCCUGGGCCUCAGUUUUUUUCACUGUCUAGUAGGUUUGCUGUGUCAGUUCUGCUUCAGGUCCCAGGUGGCUGGCGUAGUGUGGGCAAGAGGACUGAGUUGGGUGGAGGUUUCCAGAACUGCUCCUGGGAGAACCCUAAAUCCUGCUCAGUCUGCCUCUCUACCUUUUGCUCUGCCUCUAAAUCAGGUGCUGACCCAGUUUUGGCAACCCCAUGUUCAGCAUGGCCUCAGGCUCUAUCUCAGACCAUUGGAAACUUCUGCCCCCAUGGUGGCGAGGUGGAAGAUGGGGCCAAUCUGUGCCUUGUUUCCUGACUUCGAUCUAGGCCUGUGACAAGCCUUCACCUCAAGGUUGCCUGGUAACAGCUCUCUGCAUUCUGAUGGAAAAAUAAAUGUAGCAGCACCAGACCUAGGCCUGUGUAAAGGGCUGGGCAUCCAGGGUGCGGCAUGGGCUGGACCAGGACAGGGGCAGGCAGAGCUAACAUGGCAUUUUGCCCCAUUAUCUGGUGGGCAGCCUCAGGGCUGGCCUCAGUAAGGCCAAGUGGACUUCACUGAGAGUGGUAUGCUUGGUGGGCAGGUGAGCCAGCCCAGGGGGGCACCCAGCCUGGCAUCUGGCCCCUUUUACCCCCUUUUCUACACCUGCAGCUGGCGCCUUCCGCCCUGUGAGCCGCAGCCGGUGCCACCUCUCAUUAGGUGAUGAUUUUACAUUAAUUACCUUAAUUAAGCGGCGCUGAGUGCUAAUGGCUUGAGAGGGGGGUGGCUGUUUCUAAUUGCCCUUCUGGUCGGCCCAGAGUGAGGGGCCCAGGGUUUUCAAAAUCUCAGCAAACAGUUGAAAAAAGAAAGGAGGAACCCAGCAGGGGUAGAAAAGAUGCGUUCCAGGGCCUGGAUCACAUCUGGCCCUGACUCCCAUGAGGGGUGGAUGGCUGGAGGCACUGCCUGGGGUCAUGCUGCUGGCUUCAUGCCCUGAUCCAGGGCCUGCAGGAAGCGGUGAUGGGUGGGGAAGUGGGGUGGGAGGUGGAAGAUGGGCAAUUUGCCCUGCUUCUCAGACUCCUGCUCUGCUCCUCCCUACAACCCCUUGCUGAAAUCCCCCUUCGAGGUCUUUCAGCUGGGCAGGAUGCUCCCUUCUCCACCUGUAUGAGUCUUCAGGGCCCAAUCAAAUGUCCUCUUCUGCUUUCCUUACUCCAUAUAUCUUGGCCCCUGUAUUGCAAGGCUCCCCUCAAGGAGCUCAUGAUCUGACUGGGGAAGUGGAUGGUUAAAGACAGAUCCCACAGAAGGCAAUGAUGAAGGCCAAGAUGGAGGGUGAUGGCCCAGGUUUUAGGGAUCAGGAGAGAAUGACCAGAGAGGCGGACGCUGAGGUUGAGUCCUAAAGCAGGUGGUGUUAAGAUGACUCUUCCAGGCAGAGGGACCAGAGUGUGUAAUUGAGACUUGAGGGGAAAGAACGUUUGGCCCAUUUGGUUAGCUGAAAGCUGUUCUGUGCAAAGGGGAUGUUAAGGUUUAAGUGUCUCAGGCCCAGUGUAGCUCAAUGGCACAAGCACCUGUCUGGCAAGCACAAGGUCCUGAGUUCGAUUCAUAGUACCAAUAAAUAAAUAAAUAAAUGUUAAGUGUCUCCCGAAGACUUAUCUAUUGAGGGAUUGAUCCCCAUUGUAGCGAUGUUCAGAGAUCAGAUCUAGAGGAGUGACUGGAUCAUAAGGACCCUACCCUCAGGAGUGGAUUCAUUAUGAUGGAUUCAUAAUUUGAUGAUAUUGUUGGGGGGUGAUGGGAACAUGAGGUGGGGCCUUGGUGAAGGGAGCGGGUCCUGGGGGAAUGGCUCUGGGGGCUGUAUUUUCUCUCUGGUUCUUUCCUUCUCUCUCUGCUUCCUGGCUGACAUGAAGUGAGCAGCCUUACUUCACCAUGCUCUCUGCUAUUAUGUUUCUGCCUUACUGCAGACCUAAAAGUCAUGCAGCCAGUUAACCAUAAGCUGAAACCUCUGAGAUCAUGAGCCAAAAUAAAUCUUUCCUCCUUUAAACUGUCUUCCUAAGGUAUUUGGUCACAGAGACAAAAAGCUGACUAACACAGAGGGAAGUCACAGCAAGGGAAGAAAUGGCCAGAGAUGUGCCCAGAGGAAUGUCCCUGUCUCAGAGCCUCUGGGGAAGUAUGGGGGUGCAGGAGUGAUUUCAUCUGGGAAAAAUGAUUCCAGCAUGAGUGAAGAGGGAUAAGAGGGAGCACAUGUGGGUGGAUGACCAAUGAGGUGGCCAUUGCAUUAUUGGAGAAGGAAGAUUGGGGGCUGGAUCACAUGGUGGUUGAGGGGACAGAGGGAGAGAAGUAGGUGAAUGGGAGAGUUGAGGAGUGUCAUGGUGACAGACCUUGGGGAUGAGUGGAUGGGACUGUGAAAAGAGAGAGAAGGAAGGGUCAAGGUGACCCUAUGCUGCCCAGCUCCAGGGACGCCAUGCCCAUCUCAAUGUGGUAGGUCUACUCCAAGUUUCUGACCUGGACAGAAUGGAAUGACCAGCAGGUUUCGGGAAACAAAAGGAAGAUUUGGGUUAGUGAGGGCUGAGAAGCCUGUGAGACACCUGUGAGAACCUUAGGCUCAGGCCUGUGGCUUCCAAGAGACAGCCUUACUCCCAAGGGAGGGAUAAGAUGGUCCAGGGGGCUAGAGGCAGACCUGGCUCACCGGCAAGCAGCCAUCUCUCUGACAGUGUGGCCAGCACAGAGCUUGGCCCAGAAGAGACACUCAGGGAGAACUUGCUGAAGGAAAGGAUGACUGAAUCAUGGAGGAAUGAGGCUCCAUGGCCCUCUCAGGCCCAACCAGGUAGCCCUGUGUUUUCUCCACUCAGCUGCAGAAUCAGACACAGAGUUUGCACUGGGACUCAGGUGAUUUACCCAGCCUCCUGCCUAGCCAAAUCGAGAGUCCCCUCCUCAGGCUCUUCUGAGCCCCUGAUCAGUCCCGUGGGGGCAGAGGGUAGACUCAGCUUCUCCUCUUGCAGCCCUCUCAGGGCAUUGCCAGGUGGGAGCAGUAGGCCUCUCCUUUUCCCAGUGCUCAGCACAGGAUCCAAGCAUGUUUUAGGCCCAUGUCCCAGCCCUGGCCAUAGGUGUGCUCACUCAGUUGAUGCCCUUACACAUCCUCUCUUCUACAGCAGAUGCCUUCCUUUCUGGGAAAAGAUGUCAUAUCAGUCCCGGAUGCAGGUUACUCACCUUGAUCUCCACACCGUAGCCAGGGUAGACAGAGAUGUAGUAGAAACAGUCCAGGCCAACGUCAGAGGGUGAGCUGUAGGCUUGGGGGGAGUCCAGAAAGCCCUCGGGGCCAGAGAAAUUCCAACUACAAGGGCCUGGGAGGCAGGAAGAAACACAAGGCUAAGCCCUGUUCUGGUGACACAAGACCAGCCAAGCCUAAACCGUGUGUGUGCAUGUGUGUGUGUGUGAGUGGUGAAGCCCACUUUGUUAUUUCCCUGUUGAAAGAAGGGACACCUUUUGUUGGGCACCUACUGUGUACAAUCCUAUCUCAGUUCUCAGAAGGCUCAGAAAAUGGGCUUUCUUUUCACCACCUUACUGUUGAGGCUGAGAGAAGUUAAAUAAAAUUUCUAGGGUUGUGUUAUAUUUGGGAGAAACAGGAUUUGAACCCAGGUCUAUCUAGUCACAAACCACCUGCCUCCUGAAGGCUUUUCUUGGUGCCUAAAAGAAGGCAAGUUGGUACAGUGUCAGAGACGGGCACAUAGGGAUCCCGCAGCUCCCACUGCCCCACUUCCAGAUCCACAAGCCAGCAGGAAGCUAACCUGGUGGCUGAACUGUGGUGAUGGUAGUGGUAAUGAUGGUGGUGGUGGUCGUGGUCUCCUCAUCAUCUCCGGAAGCUGUGGAGGUGACGAUGGUGCCCUCCAUCCCGAGCCCUGUGGUCUGGGACAGGGCCUCUGGAGCCCAUGGCCUGCCCAUAUCUCCGGGACCCUCUUGGGUUGGAGUCCAGGCUCUGCUGGGGGGUGUAGUACUAGGUCUCUCCCCUGGAUAUAGGGUGGGCACUGCAAGGCUGGGCCCUGGAGGUAGGGGGGCUGUGAUAUGAAGCACAGGGAGCUCUGACCCUACGCUCCAACGUCCCUCCCUGGACUGGGGCUGGGUGGGUUCUUCGGCCAUGGCAGGAGUGGGGCUGGUAAAGACAGGGCGGCUGUCCUGGUUGGUCAAGCGGGGGAGGGGGCUUGGGGUGAAGGGUGUAGGUGGGUCAGGUUGAAAGGGUAGUGCUGGUCUCAGCCCCUCCUCUCCUGUCUCCAGCCCCUCUUGAAGGAAUUCCUCCAGCAGUGGAUGAUGGUUGAGUAGCUUCAGGGUGGGGGCUGUUGUGACGAAGUGGACACCUCGCUCUGGCUGCUCAGGGGUAGGAGCCACUGUCAGCUCCCCAUCUGUCUCCUUGAUGCCUGUGGCUUGUCCUUCCCCCAUGGUUGGAGCUUCUGAGGAGAGUCCUGAAAUAACAAUGGAGAAUCAGAUGUUCUGCUAUCCCAUAGUGAGCAGCAUCCCGCCCAGCUAAGGCAGUAGGAAAUCUAUCUACAUUUUGAUGGAGAGCCUUAGGGAGUGCGCUCAUUGUUGAGAAUCAUGGAGCUAUAAAAUUUUAGAGCUAGAAUUGAGAUGAUAUCACAUACUUCAAGGAUGGCACAUGAGCUAUUCUUUCUCCUCUAGCACCAGAGACAGACAUUAUUAAUCGAUCAUUGCAGUGUUUCCUGCUGUUCUCAGAUUCAGUUUCAGAAUCUUCAACAAAGCACUCCAGGCAGCCAUGACAUGACAAAUAUUUGCCAUCCUCAAUGCAGCCAAGGGGCUUAUUUUACUAAUGAGGAGAUAGGCCAGAAAAAGGAAGUGACUUGCUCAAAGUUACACGACCUGCUGAAGACCAAAAAUGGCAACCUCAGUAAGACUUCUAUGUGUUAGGUGCAGUAGUGCAUGCCUGUAAUUCCAGCACUCUGGGAAGCUGAGGUAGGAAGAUCACAAAUUAGAGUCUAACCUGAGCAAUAUAGUGACUUAGUGAGACCUGUCUCACCAUUAAAAAAGAAAAGAAAAGAAAUAAAAAGAGUUACAUGUAGCUGCUAUCAUUCACAACAGUGAUUUUCCUGCCUGACAUUGUGGGCAGAAUUCAAAUUUAUUUCCUGCUCUCAGUGCAAUUGCAAGUCAUUAGUCUUAGGAGGUAUUUCACAUAUUUUAAACUUUAUCUUUUUUAAAAUGUCACUUUGGGUAGAAUUCAGGACCUUCACACAGAGUUAUACCCCCAACCCUCCCAACUUUUUAAAGUUUAUUUUUUAUUUAGAGACGGUGUUUUGCUGUGUAGUCCAGUCUGGGCUGGCAUUUGCUGUGUAGCCCAGAUUGGCCUCAAGCUUGUGAUCCUCCAGCCUCAGUCUCCUGAGUACUGGGAUAACAGUUCUGUACCAUCCUAUCCAGUUUCCUUUUAGAUUUCUAAAAAGCAAAGAUGAAUUUUCCUACCAGCCUUCAGUAAUUCCAACCUUAUGCUUGUAAUCUAGACAUUCUAAGAGGCUGAGGCAAGAGGAUUGCAAAUUAGAGCCCAGCUGGACAAUUUAGCAAGACCCUCUCUGAUCCCUAAAUUUUUUUAAAGGGCUGGCUAUGUGGCUCAAUGGGUAGGCCCUGGGUUCAAUCCUCAGAACCUCAACAAUAACAAAUCAAAAUAUAUUGAUUAAGCUAAAAUUUAUUACUAGGUAAAUGCUACCACAUCCAGCUGAGCUUUUAUUUUAGAUUUCCUCAUGGAUGUAUAACUUUUUUUAUUAGGAUCACAAGAGAUCCCAUUCCUCUUUUUCUUUCUUUCUUUUUUGCUUUAGGAGGUCUUGCUAUAUAGUCCAGGCUAGCCUUAAACUUGUGGUGAUCCUCCUGCCUCAACCUCCUGAGUGCUGGGAUUACAGGUGUGCACCUCCACACCUAGUAUGAGAUCCCAUUUCUCUUCCUUCACAGAAAGUCAUUUCUUAUUUCCUCCUGAUUUGAUGGUCCUUCCAGAACAGUAAAGUGGCAAGAGCGAUGAGAGCCAAGUUCUAGAGCUGGGCUGAUGAGGCUUCAGCUCCCAAAUCCAUCAUUCUGUGUCCUCAAGCAAGUAGCAUAAACUCCCCAAGCCUUAACUUUCCCAUCUGUAAUAUGGGAUUUCUUUUUUAUGACUGACCAAGAUAAUGCUACUUCUCUUCUCCAUUCAUUCUGUCUCCUUGAAUUCCUUUUUAUCUUUCUUAUGAUGCUAAUCCAGGUCCUUCUAGGACAGUGUCUGAAACAGGACUAGAAGGGACAUCUGGCAUGCUGCCCGCUCCCCUUCAUGGUAGACACUGCUGAUCAGUUUUGGUUAUUUCUUACUGAGGUCACAUGGGACUUCAGAAUCCUCCUCAAAAUGGUUAUCCAGGUAGCUACUACCCAUCACUUAGCCUAAGAAGAAGCUUAUUUGCUAUCUUUGGUCAGAGGCACAGUCUGCUCUUGUGUUGUUAUGUUGACUUAUUCAACUAUAUAACUAGAGAGAUAAUACCUAUUCUGCUUGUGGCCCACUAGGUUCCCUAAGUCCUUAAACUGCCAUGAUAAGGUCAACGGAUGCCAAAUUCAGUUCAUCUAGAAUUUUACCAACUCUGAGAAGGCUGGGAGAAUAUUCCCGAUUCCUACAGUCCUCAAAAUGGCUGCUUCAGGACUAGAAAGGAAGUAUAGUCAGGGUGAGAUAACAUAGUUUGCAAGGAGAAGGUCGGUCUUCUUGCAAGUCUGGUGGUGGGGCUGUCAUUCUGCAAGCUCACACCCACCCCGUGGAUUGGCAGGCGUGAGGAAGUGCCAGAUGGCCUACAUUCUGUUCAGGAGACCAGAGCAGCUAUGAUGUGUCAGACAAAUGGGAGGAGGGAAAUUGGGGUUGGGGGGGGUGGGCACAGGCUGGAGUAUUCUCCAUUCCCCUGGAUCAGGGAGGCCUGGGCAACCCAAAGCCUUGAGAAACCAGGACUAGUUGUUAUCUCCUGAAAUGUUCACUAAAGUAUCCCAUCUGUGCCCUGACAUUCGUGCCAGGCUCUGAUAUCCAAACUAGAUGCCUGGCCAGGCUCGUACCCCCCAGAGCAGAUGGUCUGAGACCUCCCAGUGUCUUCCAUCAGUGAUGGAGGAGCCAGGCGGUACCUAUGAUAUGCCAGGACAAGGGUAUUCUCUUUGCCUAACCCCCAGAUGUCACUCAGUCUGCCAGGUGAGCCGAGCUGAUUUAAGUAUGGCACAAGAAGAAGAGACUUUCUUAUCGCAAAGACUGGAGCCCCUGGAGCUGUACAUGGCUUAUGGAUCCUUUUCUAGGACUGUCCAAUAAGGGAGACAGCCCACAGCUCCCAGGGUGGGUACCUGUGGAACCCUGCGGGGAGGGGAAGUGCAGAGAUCUUUUGACUUGGGAAGUGACCAGCGCCGGCAGGCAUACUCUCUUGCCAGCAGCCAGGUGGGUGCUGGGCAAUGGAGCAGAGCUAAUGGGUACCUCCCUGUCACUGUCGAUUGCACUGAUUGUGUUAUCUGGGAGGACUGAGCACUUGGUUAAAUGGGAUUGAGAUAGCAUAUCAAGCUAGCAAAUUGAUUCCAAAAUCAGCUGCCACUUGGUUCCAAGGGUGCCACCCAUUGUCAAAGAAGGUAAGAUAAUCUCUGGGUGAUAAACCACUUUGGUGGGAGGGCAUCUCCAGAUUCCCUGGUUGACUGUCAAAGGCCUGGAGCACUGUCACAUACAUGGCUGUUAGGUUUCCAGGGCCAUAACUAAGAGGUCAGGGACGACUCUCUGACUGGCUGAGUUAGAGAUACAGGAACUAGCAGAAGGAGGUGUUGGGGGCCAGAUACCCAGGCUCACCAGACACCGGCUGUGUCAGGCUCUUCCCAGACCUAAUAUUAUUUAAUUGACACUGCAACUCUAGGAGAUAAAAAUAUUCCUGCUUUACAAAGGACCUGGGCCUGGAGGAGAGGUAAGAGGAGAACAUAUUCGAAAUCUUGCAGUGCUGAAGCAGACCUCAGCCUAUGUCCAUCUAGCUUCAAAGCCCCCAGUCUUCCCAGGCCAGGCUGCCUCAUGGCAGGAAGAGACUGGAGCUGGCCAGCAGUGAACACACCAGCCAGUUGAGGAAACUGUGGUUACGGUGAGAAGGGGCUCAGCCAAGGUUUCUGCAGAUUGGAAGUGGAGCUGGCAGGACAGCUCCUGACCUGUGGACUUGGGUUGAGGCUGGGCUGAACCAGACCCUCAAGAAAUGUCUUGAGGGGCUGGGGAUUUAGCUCAGUGGCAUAAGCGCCUGCCUUGCAAGCAGGCAGUCUUGAGUUCGAUCCCCGGUACUGAUAAAAAAGAAAAAGACAAAAAAAAAAAAAAAAAAAAAAAAGAAAAAAAGAAAAAAGAAAUGUCUUGGCUGGGACUCUGGGAACCUCCAUUCCAUGCCAAACCACAUCUGAACCUGGGACCCAAACUAAAGCUCCAACACUGACUGCUCUGUAGGCCCAGGCCAAAGUCACACAGACCUGGAAUUAAGUUUCAGCUCUGCCACUUGAAAUCACAGGAGUCUGGGCCUAGCACAUCUUUAGAGCCUUUGCUUCCUCUGACUGCUCUAAACAGCAGUGUCCUGGGAGGGGCUGGGGCAGAGCCCCACUGAGGGCAGCCCCUGUCAGGGCAACCAGGAAGUAGGCCUGUAGGAUAGGGAGGUGCUGGUCUCUAAGGAAAGGUCUGGCCUCUCUGGGGGACAAAUUCCCUAUGGAGUGACCAUGUGUGUGUGACCCUGAAGUGUGUCAUCUAUAAAUAAGGAUGACCCUGAUCAUAUAAGCAGUAACACCAAUUCCCUGCAUGCCUGUGCAGGCCAAAGCUCUUCCACAAAAUAGAUUCUCAUUAUUCCCACCUGCCCAGCCCACUGGUAGCCUAUCCAGAAAGGUGCUGCAGAGCAACUCUGGACAGGGUGUGGGAAACACUAUUUAGCACCCCUCCCUCCACCCUCCCAUCUAGGUGGAGGAUGCCCAGGAGCUUCCCUGAAACCCGGGUGCCUGGUGUGGCCCGCCACUGCCCUGGCUCUCCCCCCGCAUUAGCUCUUAAGCUAUGCAAAUAGACAUCGGAGGGAGCCCUGUUUAAAGUAUUUAGAGGAAAUGAAAAAAGGCUUUCAUCGGCACUAAUGAGCCAUUCAGGAUGCCUCCCCGGUGGAUUCUCUCCGGCUCCCGCCUCCCAGCCCUCGCCUCUCCCUUGUCGCCCCUCUUGGGAUUGGAGGCCCCGCCCCCAGCCCCACACUGGUCUGCUAGGGAUGGCUGCCUACCCGGCCCCUCCUCCCCAGGGCCCAGCUUAGUCAGGGUACCGACAGGUCUCUGUGUCUCAUCCUAGGUAGUUCUGAUCAGGAGGGGGUGAAAGCCCAGACUCUGCUUAAGGAAAGCAAAAGGCUGCAUCUUCUACCAUCAGCCAGGUAUUUGUUAUGCUAUUUUACAGAUGUAUAAAUCGAGGCUCAGAGAGACCUAGGACAUGCCUGUUGGGUCUAUGUCCCAGACAAUAUAGUACCACCCCAGGACUCCUAGGUCUCAGUGCUAUUGCUUCUGCAGGUGUUUCCUACCAGCCAGCCAGUUGGAAAGCCUAGGAUUCCAACUCCAAAUCUGUGCUUCACUGGCACAUGACCUGUCUCCUCGAGAAGCUACCCUGGGUUGGGGAGAGCUCCCACCUGCCAGAGCCACGCUAACCCAUCCCCACCUUUUCUCUGUCCAGCUUCUGACUCUCUGUGGGAGAGCCAUUCCUGCCUGACCUUCAUGUGACCACGGACUGAGAAAAUGGGACUGGGAUUGGGCAGGUGGAGGCGACAAAGAACCUUAGGACUUCUUCAUAUUUUUCACAAAAACCUCAGGAACACUAAGCCUGUCUGCCACUCACUCUCCAAGGAGGGUCGGGUCAGUGUCUCCCACCACUCAGAUUCUUUGCCUCCCAGCACUGACUGGGCACAGGUGUUAUCCAUGUUGGAUAUUUGAUGGGUAAUUUGGAAGCUCGAGCUGAGCCAGUAAGGAAGACCUGGACAUCAUGAGUGGAAGACCGCCAGGAACAUUUGGCCUCUUGUGAUCUGGCCUCAUGUGAUUUGGCCCAGGAUGGGGCUUUGGACAUGUGCUUGUUCUGUGGGAAUGCCUCCUGUGCUAUGUGGACUUGUGCCUCCCUCACGGCCCCAUCAGUGACAGAAGGCAGGAUAUCCGGUCCAGCCUCUGGCCAAGGCUCCUGGGGCAGUCCCAGAGCAGCUGUCUGGGCGGUUCACUUACAUUUACUGAGUGCCAGCUAUGGGUUAGACAUGUCCAUCCUCAAGAUCUGUCUUCUACACAGAAUGGUUGCCCUUUGCUUAGAAUUAAUAGUACAUGGGAGGAAACUGAGACUGAGAGGCAAAGUGAAUCAUCCCAGUUUAAUCAGAGGAAAUGUGGCAAAUAAAAAGUCUGAGCCAGGUCUGUCUGUGAUCCACAGCCUGUGAUCAAAAUUUCUUUUUCUUUUCUUUAAAAAAAUUCAAACUGGGAAUUGAACUCAGGGAGCACUGAACUACAGCCCGAGCCCUUUUAUAUUUUUAAUUUUGAGCCCAGACUUGGUUCAGAUUUUCAGUCUUCCUGCCUCUGCCUCCCAAGUGGCUGAGAUUACAAGUAUGAGCUCCCAUACCAGCUUGGAUGAAAAUUUCUACUGCAUUGCUUUCUGCUUGGGUGUGCAUGUGUGAGAAUGUGUCUGAAUGCAGGCAGACACAGGCAUGAGUCUGUGUGUAUGUGUGUGUAUAUACACGGAGGUACCUACAUGGGCUACAAAUCAUUACCAUUUGCCCUUGAUCAUACUCUGGAACCUGGAGCUCAGUAACACCCAAGCUCCCAGAAGAAGGGGUGUAUUUCCCACACUAACUAACGUGCUCCCUUCUUUUCACUCUGUCCUCUUCUUGCACCCUUAACCUGAGCCUUCUUAGGCCCAUCUGCCCUGGACAGCUCCUUAGCCUCUGAGGGGGUAGGACACUGCUCUGGGAUGUACCUGAGCCAGCCCUCUUCACCCUGUUGUCCCCUCCCUUCUAUGAGGCUGGGACCCAGGGGCCCAGGGUAGAGGGAGCUCCCAGCUAACUGCCACGUUCUCUGCUUUCCAAUUUAAAAUCUAAUACGGUCUUGCCACUGCAGAGCUGGGGCCUGGAGAGGUGAUUAAUGAGGUCUCUGCCACAGCAUCACCUGCUGCGCUCUGCACCUUCCCCUGCAGCCUUCUGUCCCCUCUCCU